GCCUUUAUGGCCACACCACCCCUGAACGCACGGGAUCUCGACUGAUUUUGGAAGCUAAGCAGAGUCGGGCCUGGCUAGUACUUGGGAUGGGAGACCCCCUGGGAAUACUGGGUGCUGAAGGCU
rnacentral:rRNA from 1 species